CACAAUAAAAUAUGAAGGCUGUACGCGGCUGUGCUCUCGGGCCAGUUUUGCGGAGGCUGAAUUAUUUAUUACCCUUGUCUUUUGCGCACUUGUUGUUUCCUGGGCGGGUUCGCCCGCCACCAGGACCACAUCAUAAACCUUUUUAUGCAGUUGCAAUCAGCGUCAGUAUAACAAAUGUAAAUCAUUUA
rnacentral:misc_RNA from 1 species